UACAGAGGGGGCAAGCGUUGUUCGGGAUUACUGGGCGUAAAGGGCGCGUAGGCGGCCUGUUAAGUCGGACGUGAAAUCCCUCGGCUCAACCGGGGAACUGCGUCCGAUACUGGCGGGCUUGAAUUCGGGAGAGGGAUGUGGAAUUCCAGGUGUAGCGGUGAAAUGCGCAGAUAUCAGGAGGAACACCGAUGGCGAAGGCAGGUCUCUGGGCAUUAACUGACGCUGAGGAGCGAAAGCAUGGGGAGCGAACAGG
rnacentral:rRNA from 1 species